rnacentral:rRNA from 1 species
GAUGAACGCUGGCGGCGUGCUUAACACAUGCAAGUCGAACGGGAAAUAUUUCAUUGAGACUUCGGUGGAUUUGAUUUAUUUCUAGUGGCGGACGGGUGAGUAACGCGUGGGUAACCUGCCUUAUACAGGGGGAUAACAGUCAGAAAUGGCUGCUAAUACCGCAUAAGCGCACAGAGCUGCAUGGCUCAGUGUGAAAAACUCCGGUGGUAUAAGAUGGACCCGCGUUGGAUUAGCUAGUUGGUGGGGUAACGGCCCACCAAGGCGACGAUCCAUAGCCGGCCUGAGAGGGUGAACGGCCACAUUGGGACUGAGACACGGCCCAGACUCCUACGGGAGGCAGCAGUGGGGAAUAUUGCACAAUGGGGGAAACCCUGAUGCAGCGACGCCGCGUGAAGGAAGAAGUAUCUCGGUAUGUAAACUUCUAUCAGCAGGGAAGAUAGUGACGGUUCCUGACUAAGAAGCCCCGGCUAACUACGUG